UUGAAUUUCGCCGAGCUAUCUUAGCUAACCCUGCCAAAUAUGGCAGAUAUGCUGAUUUAGCCGUAAACCAAGUUUUAUUUAAGAGUUUACCAGGGUUAACAAGGAAACUUGUUAACCUCCCGACAUUGGAAAGGUGACAUGUUAA
rnacentral:ncRNA from 1 species